rnacentral:rRNA from 1 species
AGAGUUUGAUCCUGGCUCAGAAUCAACGCUGGCGGCGUGCCUAACACAUGCAAGUCGAACGCGAAAGUCCCGCAAGGGAUUAGUAGAGUGGCAAACGGGUGAGUAACACGUGGGUGACCUGCCUUCGAGUGGGGGAUAACGUCCCGAAAGGGACGCUAAUACCGCAUGACAUCCUGCCUUUGAAGAGGCGGAGAUCAAAGCUGGGGAUCGCAAGACCAAGCGCUCAAAGAGGGGCCCGCGCCUGAUUAGCUAGUUGGCGAGGUAACGGCUCACCAAGGCAUCGAUCAGUAUCCGGCCUGAGAGGGCGGACGGACACACUGGGACUGAGACACGGCCCAGACUCCUACGGGAGGCAGCAGUGGGGAAUUGUUCGCAAUGGGCGCAAGCCUGACGACGCAACGCCGCGUGGAGGAUGAAGACCUUCGGGUCGUAAACUCCUUUCGAUCGAGACGAAUGGCCUCCGGGUUAACAGCCCGGAGGAGUGACGGUACCGAGAGAAGAAGCCCCGGCUAACUCCGUGCCAGCAGCCGCGGUAAUACGGGGGGGGCAAGCGUUGUUCGGAAUUACUGGGCGUAAAGGGCUCGUAGGCGGCCAACUAAGUCAGACGUGAAAUCCCUCGGCUUAACCGGGGGAACUGCAUCUGAUACUGGAUGGCUUGAGUUCGGGAGAGGGAUGUGGAAUUCCAGGUGUAGCGGUGAAAUGCGUANAUAUCUGGAGGAACACCG